GCCUAGCCGUAACACACAAUUAAACAACCAAUUGUUCGCCAAACAACUACGAGCUAUACUUAAAACUUAAAAGACUUGACGGUACUUCAUCACGGCCUAGAGGAGCCUGUCUAAUAACCGACAAUCCACGAUUAACCCAACCCCUUCUUGCCCAACAGUCUAUAUACCGCCGUCGCCAGCUUACCUUGUAAAAGAAAUAAAGUGAGCUAAAUAAUACAACACUAAAACGACAGGUCGAGGUGUAACUUAUGGAGGGGUCAAGAUGGGCUACAUUCUCUCCGAGAAUACGAAUAACACUAUGAAAUUAGUGCUUGAAGGCGGAUUUAGCAGUAAGCUAAGAAUAAAAUACUUAACUGAACAUAACGCAAUGAAGUGCGUACACACCGCCCGUCAUCCCUGCCAUCAUAAUAUAAACCUUAAUAAACCAACUUAAGAGCUAAUUCAGGGCAAGUCGUAACAUGGUAAGUGUACUGGAAAGUGUACUUAGAAA
rnacentral:rRNA from 1 species